rnacentral:ncRNA from 1 species
UCUUAUCUUGAGCGGUGGAGGGACUGGCCCUAUGAAACCGCGGCAACCUUCAAAUUCUAAAUUUGAAAGGUGCCAAUUCCUGCAAAGUAACACUUUGACAGAUGAGG